UACGUAGGGGGCGAGCGUUGUCCGGAUUUAUUGGGCGUAAAGAGCUCGUAGGCGGUUCGAUAAGUCGGACGUGAAAUCUCCACGCUCAACGUGGAGGGGCCGUUCGAUACUGUCGUGACUCGAGUCCGGUAGGGGAGUGUGGAAUUCCCGGUGUAGCGGUGAAAUGCGCAGAGAUCGGGAGGAACGCCCGUAGCGAAGGCGGCACUCUGGGCCGGUACUGACGCUGAGGAGCGAAAGCGUGGGGAGCAAACAGG
rnacentral:rRNA from 1 species